GGCUGCGAUCAUACCAGCACUAAUGCACCGGUUCCCAUCGGAACUUUGAAGCUAAGCGUGCUUGGGUGAGAGUAGUACUAGGAUGGGUGAACCCCUGAGAAGUCCUCGUGUUGCAUCCU